rnacentral:rRNA from 1 species
CGUCUAGGCGGAGUGGCAAGUCAGGUGUGAAAGCCCACGGCUCAACCGUGGAAUUGCACUUGAAACUGCUACUCUUGAGUACGGAAGAGGAAAGCGGAAUUCCUGGUGUAGCGGUGAAAUGCGUAGAUAUCAGGAAGAACACCGGUGGCGAAGGCGGCUUUCUGGUCCGAUACUGACGCUGAAGCGCGAAAGUGUGGGGAGCAAACA